UAUUGCAUGAUGAAAUUGACAUUGCAUAAAAUAUAGAAAUCAACGACAACGGAAGCCCGCAAUGAACGGUGUUUUAUCUUUUGCUGACGACAACUUCCAAAUCUACUUAGGACCAGGAUUUUUUAAGGGAACAAGAAAUCUUCAUAGGGAUACAUAGAUUGAACAUUUUCUAAAUGGAUCCACAGAACUCUGUGUCUCACCUGCAGUUGCUGUUAGUGUAAAAGUGUGAUGUUGACUAUAAAACAACAGAAUGAAGAAUUCCAAGAGUCUAAUACGGUUUAUUUAACAGGAUUUUAUCAUUGAAUCAACAUCCUACAAGAAUAUAACAUACAAAUAAGUAAUUAUGUGCAGGGAAGAACAUUUAAACAAAACUGUAAGAGACAUACAGUGGUGUAUUUUUAAAGAGAUCGAAAGAACCUGUAAUAACUUGCCAUGAGUGUAUAUUUUCCAAACCAGAAGCUCGUUCAUAAUAAUAUACAAUUUAAAUUAAAAUUAUUGUAUGAACAUUACAGAUAAAGUCUCAAAACAGAAAAUUUAGUUUCAAAUGAAACAUUUAAGUACAAAACAUUGAAAUAGUCCUUUCCAUGUUGUGGGACAUGUAGAAAGUUUAUGCUUUCACCAUUCAUGUAGCUCCAUAUAGAGGAAUACCAUACCAAAAAAAACCGCAUUCGUAUCCGACAGCAAUCAAUCGAUAAAAAAACCACCAAUUAACAUGACAUGAGACAAGCAAUGAGAAGGUUCCUACCUUGGUACAGGCGUUUGAAAACUACUGAAGAGCUGUCUAAAAAAGGCAUUAAAGUUUUAUUUUUAUUGAGAAAAUAUAUGUCAAAUUUUAAUUUUGUUCCCACUAAUUUGUCAUGUAAAUUAUUUGAUACUCUUAUAAGACCUAUUUUGACAUACAACUCUGAGAUUUGAUUUAUGGAUAAUUUUCAGUCAGCUUAUAGAGCAUCUAAUAGAGCUGCAGUAAAUAAUACAUUUUGUGAUACUCUUGCAUUAACAGAAAAACAUCCCUUUGAGAAGGUUCAUUCUAAAUUUUGUAAAGCAGUAUUAGGACUGAAAAAGACAGCCACUAACAUAGGUGCUAGAUCAGAAUUAGGUAGAUUUACUUUGGACUCCUAUAUAAAAACUCAAACACUCAUGUUUUUUUAUAGAAUAAAUUGUAAUGAUAUUAAUCCCCUGGUUAAAGAAUCUCUACAAACAAACAUAAAUUUACAUUCAGAAGGAAUUUAUUCUUGGUACUCAUUUGCAGAUAAAAAAUUUAAAGAAAUGAAAAUAAAUCCAGAAAAUUACUCUAAUAAUAAUGUACCUUUUAAACAAUCAAAAAACAUGUUAAAAUGUAAUAUAAAAAAGUGUGUUUCAGAGGAAUAUGAAAAAAAUACUUUAAUUAAACUUUCAAAAAUGGAUUCCUCAUCCAAACUUUGUCUUUAUGGGAAAUUAAAAAAUAAUUGUCAGUCUGAGGAAUAUUUAAAUUGCAAUAAUUUUAUACAUAGGCAGUUACUCUCAAAAUUUAGACUAAGUGAUCAUUCCCUAGGCAUUGAAUUAGGAAGGUACAGAAACAUUCCAAGAGCACAAAGAUUAUGUAAAAAAUGUGAAGUCUUAGAUGACGAAUAUCAUUUCUUUUUGUAUUGUGACAUUAACAUAUCUUUGCGUUUUAAUCUUUUUGUUUAUCUAAAAGACUAUGU